UUUCCAGACUCCUACGGGAGGCAGCAGUGGGGAAUAUUGCGCAAUGGGGGAAACCCUGACGCAGCAACGCCGCGUGCGGGAUGAAGGCCUUCGGGUUGUAAACCGCUUUCAGCAGGGAAGAUCCAAGACGGUACCUGCAGAAGAAGCCCCGGCUAACUACGUGCCAGCAGCCGCGGUAAUACGUAGGGGGCGAGCGUUAUCCGGAUUCAUUGGGCGUAAAGCGCGCGCAGGCGGGUUGCUAAGCGGGACCUCUAAUCCUGGGGCUCAACCUCAGGCCGGGUCCCGAACUGGCAGCCUCGGGUUCGGUAGGGGAGAUCGGAAUUCCCGGUGUAGCGGUGGAAUGCGCAGAUAUCGGGAAGAACACCGAUGGCGAAGGCAGAUCUCUGGGCCGCAACCGACGCUGAGGCGCGAAAGCUAGGGGAGCGAACAGGAUUAGAUACCCUUGUA
rnacentral:rRNA from 1 species